rnacentral:lncRNA from 1 species
GAUACUUCACAGAUGACUUAAAAUAAAUCCCCUGAAAAUAAGAAUCUCUGGAAGAGAUGACACGUGUGUGUGUGUGUGUGUGUGUUUUGGUGGAGUGGUAGGAGGAGGGUUGGCUUAAUGAUGAGAAUCAUUAUUUCUUGAAUUGGAUGACACUUUCCAUUCCUGCAAAGGGAGCGUGAGGUCCAGCCUUGCUAAUUCAUGAUCAAAGUAAUUUGCUGAGAGUAGUGGAAGGAAUGAGUUAGCAGAAGAUGGCAAAUUGCAUUAAUGAGUAGUAGGAGGAAAACAAAUAAGCAAAUUUUAAUGUGGUUGGAACAUGUUCCUGAGUUGUAUGAAGGGAGACAGGUAAAUUGAGAGUAAUGUUAUGAUUGUUUCAUUUGUUGGAAAUAAGGAAAACUUGCAUGGUUUGAAUUGUGGAACAAUAGGUGGUGUAUGUUAGGAGUCAGAAUUAUCAUUUAACAUGUAAGUUUCUGUUUUACUUCAGAUAAAGAAUGUCAGCUACCUUUCCCAUGUUAGCUUCUAUACCUUUUCUUGAGGUGACCAUAAAUAGGUAAUAUUGUCUUUCACUGAGAUUGUUUUAAUUAGCGAAGUGUGCUGAUUAAAUGUCUUUUCUUGAUAAAUUAUUAGAAUGAAUAAAGGAUGGUAUUUCUAGAUAGCCUUGGUUAGUCAGUGAUUUGUUUAAAUUUAGUGUGGAUAAGAAUCACCUGAGGGCUUUUUAAACACAGUUUACUGGGUCCUGACCUUAGUGUUUCUGGCUUAUUAGGUAUAAGUAUGAGAAGUUGAUUUUUAUCAAGUUUCUAGAUGCUACAGAUCUAGGAACCAUACUUAGAGUGCUAUUAUAUGUCUUUUAAUGUACACUGAUAUGGAAAAAGCAAUGAUACAUCAUGUUAUCGCAUAUUUUAAAAUGUGAUCAUGACCAGGGAAUCUUGAAAGUUGUCUUAUGUAAUAAUGUAAAUCAAUGUAGAAUACCAUAUAUUUUUUUCUUGCAAGGUUAUUAUUAAUAGGAAUGACUAUUUGUAGCCAAUGUGUUCAAAUGCAUGGGAGGACGUAAACACUUCAUAAUUUCCUGGAAAUACAGACAUAUAUCACUUAAAAUAAUACAUUUCUAAUAUAAAUUUAAAUUAUCUACGUGAUAUGAGGAAACGAGCUUAUUUUUGAUAAUUUUCCUAGCAGUGAAUCAACUAUACUCAUUUGAAUCUAAAUUAAAUUAAAUUUGAGUAAAUUCAGCCAUUUCUAAAUUCAGUCCAUAUAAAUUCACUUUGGGUAAAAGAAGACAAAAUUCCUGAAAACAGUAGAUUAAAAAAAUAACAUUUUAAGAGCAGGUAUGAUCUCAAUGAAUAUAGUGUGGUAAUUUCUGCCUAAUACCUACCCUUUUGGAGGAAGGAAAGGUAAUCCUGUUUGUGUUUAAUGUUAAUUACUGAACUCUUUAUAACUUGUUUUAUUUAUUUAUUGUUUGAUUUUAAGCAUCUGCUUCUGGUGGACUUACAUAUGUUGGGUUUGGGAAAUUUCAACAUACAGGUUGGCAUUCCAGUGGCUAUAGUUGUUUCUUGAAAUUUAGUACUGUUUUCCAAUGAUGAUUCUCUUUGGGAAUAGGCUGUUCUCUUUUACUUAAAAACUGUAAAAUUAGCCACUUCAGUUGAGACUCCUCCAGGUUUGGAAGUGGUGAAGAAUAUGGAUAUAUUCAGAUCAAAUCAGUCAUUCUCUGUGAUACAGCAACUGAACAAGAAACCCAGACUUCAAACAAGCAGACUUCUUUGGGUUGGACUGAAUAAAAUGAGAAGAAAUUACAGAGGAUUUGAAAAUGUAUAUGGCCUAGGAAUUAUUGAAAUUAUUUUGGAGGGUGGCAACAAAUUUGGGACAUUGUACUUUCUGUUUUAAUGUCAAUUGUAUAAUGUGUAACUCUAGUGAGCAUGGCUGGAUACCGUGGCUUCACAUUUUAGGUAGACUGGGUGUUUUAUCUACUGAGUGAAUUACAGCCUUCGGCAAUGAUGUCAAGGUAGCAACAAAACCCAAAAAAUCCAUCCUUUAGAAAUUGUUUUAAGUCACAAUGAUGAUACCUUCUUUAAAAGCUUUGACUUACUGAAAUAAUGCUUUUCAUUUGUCCAAGAUGAGUACAUAGCAGAAUUUGGAAAUAUGGUUCCAAAAGGCUAAAUAGACUGACUUUUUUGAUAUUUUUCCCUUAUAGGGAGAAAGAAACAUUAACGGUUUAUCAGAUGCCUUGACUGUACUUUUUACUGCUUUGUCUUCAAGGCCUAGUGUAAUAAUUAACAUCUAGUAUGUGUUUGAUGGAUAGCCAAUUUUUGCUUCAUUGGUAUGUUGUUACCACAGUCAUUGGUAGAGUCAAUAUAUGAAUGAAGAAAGUAUAACAAAUUUGCCCUCUAGUAGAGUACAGGCAAAGUAUGGCCGUCAGUUUCACCCUGAUUUUUUUUCCUCCAUUCUUUUUUAGGGUUUAGGUCAAGAACAAGGGCAUUUCAUUGUACCACAUAGCUGAGAGUAGGGAAUUGGGACAUACUGUCUUGCUUUAAAUUAAAGUUGUCUGUUUCAUCAAGUAGAGAGGUUCCUAAGAUAUUGCCAGAUUUCUGACUCGGGGUUUGUUAAAAAUAGAAAAGGUAGUUCCUUAAGGUUGUAUUUUAUUGGAUGCCUCCACCUGCUUCAGGCUAGCUCACUGGAGAAUAAAUAUUCCAGGUUAAAAAAAAAAAA